UACGUAGGUGGCAAGCGUUAUCCGGAAUUAUUGGGCGUAAAGCGCGCGUAGGCGGUUUUUUAAGUCUGAUGUGAAAGCCCACGGCUCAACCGUGGAGGGUCAUUGGAAACUGGAAAACUUGAGUGCAGAAGAGGAAAGUGGAAUUCCAUGUGUAGCGGUGAAAUGCGCAGAGAUAUGGAGGAACACCAGUGGCGAAGGCGACUUUCUGGUCUGUAACUGACGCUGAUGUGCGAAAAGCGUGGGGAUCAAACAGG
rnacentral:rRNA from 1 species